GAUGAACGCUGGCGGCGUGCUUAACACAUGCAAGUCGAACGAGAACCAUCGGAUUGAGGAUUCGUCCAAGUGAAGGUGGGGAAAGUGGCGGACGGGGGAGUAACGCGUGAGCAAUCUGCCUUGGAGUGGGGAAUAACGGCUGGAAACAGCCGCUAAUACCGCAUGAAGCAGCUGGGAGGCAUCUCCCUGGCUGUCAAAGAUUUAUCGCUCUGAGAUGAGCUCGCGUCUGAUUAGCUAGUUGGCGGGGUAACGGCCCACCAAGGCGACGAUCAGUAGCCGGACUGAGAGGUUGGCCGGCCACAUUGGGACUGAGACACGGCCCAG
rnacentral:rRNA from 1 species